GACAGAGGGGGCAAGCGUUGUCCGGAGUUACUGGGCGUAAAGGGCGCGGAGGCGGUCUGCGGCGUCGGCGCUGAAAGCGCCCCGCUUAACGGGGCGAGGCGUGCCGAUACGCGCAGACUUGAGGCGAGCAGAGGGUGGUGGAAUUCCGGGUGGGGCGGUGAAGUGCGUAGAGAUCCGGAGGAACGCCAGUGGGGAAGCCGGCCACCUGGGCUCGUCCUGACGCUGCAGCGCGACCGCGUGGGGAGCAAACCGG
rnacentral:rRNA from 1 species